CUAAACGGCCGCGGCACUAAAACCGUGCAAAGGUAGCACAAUCACUUGUCCCUUAAAUGAGGACCCGUAUGAAAGGCACCAUGAGAGAAGACCUGUCUCCUAAGGCCAGCCAGUGAAAUUGAACUGCCAGUACAAAAGCUGGUAUUUACAAGCAAGACAAAAAGACCCCGUGGAGCUUCAACAAAAUGCUUAAACAAACUAAGCAAAGUUUCAGUUGGGAAAACUUUAGAAAAAAUAAACCUCUAAAUUAGACCAACAAGUCAGGAUCCAGUCUUACUGAUCAACGAAACAAGCUACCCCAGGGAUAACAGCGCUACCUUCUCAAAGAGUCCAUAUCAACAAGAAGAUCUACGACCUCGAUGUUGGAUCAGGGUACCCAGACGGUGCAGCAGCUGUCAAAGGUUCGUUUGUUCAACGACUAACACCC
rnacentral:rRNA from 1 species